UAGGGAAUCUUCGGCAAUGGACGAAAGUCUGACCGAGCAACGCCGCGUGAGUGAAGAAGGUUUUCGGAUCGUAAAACUCUGUUGUUAGAGAAGAACAAGGACGUUAGUAACUGAACGUCCCCUGACGGUAUCUAACCAGAAAGCCACGGCUAACUACGUGCCAGCAGCCGCGGUAAUACGUAGGUGGCAAGCGUUGUCCGGAUUUAUUGGGCGUAAAGCGAGCGCAGGCGGUUUCUUAAGUCUGAUGUGAAAGCCCCCGGCUCAACCGGGGAGGGUCAUUUGAAACUGGGAGACAUGAGUGCAGAAGAGGGGAGUGGAAUUCCAUGUGUAGCGGUGAAAUGCGUAGAUAUAUGGAGGAACACCAGUGGCGAAGGCGGCCCUGUGGGCUGUAACUGCCGCUGAGGCUAGAAAGCGUGGGGAGCAAACAGG
rnacentral:rRNA from 1 species